rnacentral:lncRNA from 1 species
ACGGAGGAAUAAGAAAAUUUUCUACUUAAAUUGGAAGUUGCAACAGAUCAAAAUAGAAAGGAAUUCUAAAACAAUCCUAGAAACAGAAUUCUCUUAGACUUAUUAAGGUCAUAGGUUUUUGUAUAGAAUAGCAAAACAAAAAUAAAAUUAUUAAAAUUAUACCAUUAUUAUGAUAUUACAUAUUAGAAUUUGAGAAAAAUAAAAAGAUUCGGUAUUUGGUAGAUAAAGACAAAAAAAUAUGAUAGAAUCCAUUUUUGAGCACUUAACCGCCUUUAUGUUAGGGAUUUCGUUGUUCAAUCAAAAAACAAUUUGC